UUCAGUGGCUGAAAAUGAAUGGACAGACAAAUCACCAGCAGUUUGAAGGACUCGUUGAACCAAUAAAAGCGAAUGUAAUCAUUGCUCGAGGUUUUUGUGAAGGCAGUUCAAAUAGAAUCCCGGUUAAGGAAAAGUGGGAGAACUUCAGUGAGGAGCUUAAUGCAUUGAGACUAUCAAUGCGUCUUGGUUCAGAAUGGCAGAAAAUUUGGAUUGACAUGAUGUGAAGGGUAAAGGGAACACUAGCACACAAUAAGCGAGAAUUUAGUGCCACAGGUUUCCUCUCGAUAACCAGCAAACGAAAAGAGUUGCGCGCGUGUAUGUGUGUGUGUGUGGCGGCUGCUUCU